CCUACGGGGAGCAGCAGUGAGGAAUAUUGGUCAAUGGGCGGAAGCCUUAACCAGCCAAGUAGCGUGCGGGAUGCAGGCGCUACGGGUCGGAAACCGCUUUUGCACGGGGAUAACACCCUCCCCUUGUGGAGGUCUGCCGGUACCGUGCGACUAAGGGCCGGCUAAUUCCGUGCCAGCAGCCUCGGUACUACGGAAGGCCCGAGCGUUAUCCGGAUUCAUUGGGCUUAAGGGGAGCGUAGGCGGGCGUUCAAGUCAGCUGUAAAAUCGCGCGGCCCAACCGCGCACCGCAGUUGAAACUGGACGCCUUGAGUUCACAACAGGCAGGCGGAAUUCGUGGUGUAGCGGUGAAAUGCAUAGAUAUCACGAGGAACCCCGAUUGCGAAGGCAGCCUGCCGGGGUGCGACUGACGCUGAGGCUCGAAGGUGCGGGUAUCAAACAGGAUUAGAUACCCGAGUAGUC
rnacentral:rRNA from 1 species